UACGUAGGGUGCAAGCGUUGUCCGGAAUUAUUGGGCGUAAAGAGCUCGUAGGCGGUCUGUCGCGUCGGCUGUGAAAUCCCGGAGCUCAACUCCGGGUCUGCAGUCGAUACGGGCAGACUGGAGUUCGGCAGGGGAGACUGGAAUUCCUGGUGUAGCGGUGAAAUGCGCAGAUAUCAGGAGGAACACCGGUGGCGAAGGCGGGUCUCUGGGCCGAUACUGACGCUGAGGAGCGAAAGCGUGGGGAGCGAACGGG
rnacentral:rRNA from 1 species